rnacentral:rRNA from 1 species
CCCUUAGAUGUCCGGGGCCGCACGCGCGCUACACUGAAGGAAUCAGCGUGGCUUUCUCCCUGACCCGAAAGGGUUGGGAAACCCGUUGAAUCUCCUUCGUGAUAGGGAUUGGGGCUUGAAAUUGUUCCCCAUGAACGAGGAAUUCCCAGUAGGCGCGAGUCAUAAGCUCGCGUUGAUUACGUCCCUGCCCUUUGUACACACCGCCCGUCGCUACUACCGAUUGAACGGUUUAGUGAGGGCCUCGGAUUGGUCUCGGCCCGCUCUUUACCGGGCGGCGCCGUUGGUCGAGAAGACGCUCGAACUUGAUCGUUUAGAGGAAGUAAAAGUCGUAACA